rnacentral:tRNA from 1 species
GGGCUGGGGCUCAGAGGUAGAGCGCUCGCCUGGCACGCGUGGGGCACUGGGUUCGAUCCUCAGCACCACG